rnacentral:rRNA from 1 species
AUUGCAUGAUCCGGUGUGAAAAACUCCGGUGGUAUGAGAUGGACCCGCGUCUGAUUAGCUAGUUGGUGGGGUAACGGCCCACCAAGGCGACGAUCAGUAGCCGACCUGAGAGGGUGACCGGCCACAUUGGGACUGAGACACGGCCCAAACUCCUACGGGAGGCAGCAGUGGGGAAUAUUGCACAAUGGGGGAAACCCUGAUGCAGCAACGCCGCGUGAGUGAAGAAGUAUUUCGGUAUGUAAAGCUCUAUCAGCAGGGAAGAAAAUGACGGUACCUGAGUAAGAAGCCCCGGCUAACUACGUGCCAGCAGCCGCGGUAAUACGUAGGGGGCAAGCGUUAUCCGGAUUUACUGGGUGUAAAGGGAGCGUAGACGGCGAUGCAAGUCUGAAGUGAAAGCCCGGGGCUCAACCCCGGGACUGCUUUGGAAACUGUAUGGCUAGAGUGCUGGAGAGGCAAGCGGAAUUCCUAGUGUAGCGGUGAAAUGCGUAGAUAUUAGGAAGAACACCAGUGGCGAAGGCGGCUUGCUGGACAGUAACUGACGUUGAGGCUCGAAAGCGUGGGGAGCAAACAGGAUUAGAUACCCUGGUAGUCCACGCUGUAAACGAUGAAUGCUAGGUGUUGGGGAGCAAAGCUUCUCGGUGCCGCCGCAAACGC